GGAGUCAGGGGUCGGGCGGGCAAUCCCCAGGCUUGUGGUUACGCCAGACGCCAGGCUCCCAAGAACCUCACCUGUGACCCUGGAUGUCCUCACAGGUUAAAGGGUCUCAGGGACCCAGAGGCCGGCAGUGUGGUGUGUGGUGGCCUGACAGGCCCUGGUGUGGGGUGGGGGUGGGGGUGUCAGAGUGGAAAUGGCACAAAGAUACUGAGAAAGCCCAAGAGACAGAAACUGAGACGUGGAGAGAUAUCAGAAAGCACAAUAAGAGAGAGAUGGAGAGACAAUCUGAGAGGCUGCUGUGUAGACCCACAGAAGACUCCAGAGACACAGCGGAGAUGGAGAGAUAGAGAAAGCGAAGUAGAGGUUUCUUCUUGGGAGAGGAACUCUUUGAGGGCAGUGGGAAGAGGGGAUGCAAGGACAGGACAGGCGAGAAGCCCAGCUCCUCCUCCCAGGGUCCCCCGGCAUGGGGCAGUGGUCAGGGGCUGGGGUCCCCGCCGGGCGUCCCGUGCAGGGCGCAGCCUGGGGAAAGCUAGGAGGCCGUAUAGUGAUCUCCGUGGGUGUCCUCCUCAACUAUACAACCUCCUACCUCAGCCCGGGGGGCGCGGCAGGUGGACAGACAGACGGAUGGAGGGACAGAUGGGGGCCAGGAGGGCCAGGGAGGGUGGGGAGGGCCGGGAAGACCCCAGCCGCGAUGGUGAGCCCCCGACACAGACCCACAGACUCGAGCUUGUGUGCGGCGAAGGCCCCGCAAGGUCGGUUCUACGGGUGGGUGCCAGGACCCAGGAAUCCGGGCCCCCGGCCCCCUCCUCCCAAGGAACCCAAGAAUCAGCCCCUUGGCUCCUUCCUCAGCAGAGACCCAGGAGUUUCAGGCCCCUAGCCCCUUCCUCCUCAAAGGUGCAUGGAGUCCAGGCCAGUGGACCCUCCUCUUUCAGACUCAGAUGUCUGGGCAGCCCCCUCUUCCCUCAGGCCCUGAGAGUCCAAUCAGGCCUGCUUCCCUGGGGAAGGCGGAGCCUGGCUCCCUGGAUGUGGAGUCAGAGGGAACCUCACCUGUUCCGGAGCUCAGUCCCUUGGGCAAGCAGCUCCCUACCUACCUGUCAGAUUCUGGAAUCCGGGACUAGGGUGGAGGCAGGGACAGGAAGCCUUCAAACCUUUCUGGAUAUUUUCCCCCUCUCUCAUGUCUUCUUUUAG
rnacentral:lncRNA from 12 species